ensembl:snoRNA Small nucleolar RNA SNORD59
ACUUCUGUGAUGAUUUAACAGCAUGACUUUCGUUCUUCUGAGUCUGUUGAAGCCAAAUAUCUGUUCUGAGAAGA